UACGUAGGGGGCGAGCGUUGUCCGGAAUCAUUGGGCGUAAAGCGCGCGUAGGCGGCCAGAUAAGUCCGGUGUGAAAGUCAAAGGCUCAACCUUUGAAUGCCGCUGGAAACUAUCUGGCUAGAGUCCGGAAGGGGCGAGUGGAACUCCUGGUGUAGCGGUGAAAUGCGCAGAUAUCAGGAAGAACACCUAUGGCGAAGGCAGCUCGCUGGGACGGUACUGACGCUGAGGCGCGAAAGCGUGGGGAGCAAACAGG
rnacentral:rRNA from 1 species